AUCACUUCUUGGCCUUUUGGCUAAGAUCAAGUAUAGUAUCAAAGGAUUGAGGAAAGGAUGAAAUGAGGGAAUAUUACCCUCUAAGUAAUUUAUUUAUUCAUCAAUGUGCUGUGGAUUUGAAGUUAGAAGAGCUGGGUUCAAAUCCCCACUUUGCACCUUUUACUACCUGUGUGACUUUUGGCAAAUCAC